UACGAAGGGGGCUAGCGUUGCUCGGAAUCACUGGGCGUAAAGGGUGCGUAGGCGGGUCUUUUAAGUCAGGGGUGAAAUCCUGGAGCUCAACUCCAGAACUGCCUUUGAUACUGGCGGUCUCGAGUCCGGGAGAGGUGAGUGGAACUGCGAGUGUAGAGGUGAAAUUCGUAGAUAUUCGCAAGAACACCAGUGGCGAAGGCGGCUCACUGGCCCGGUACUGACGCUGAGAUGCGAAAGCGUGGGGAGCAAACAGG
rnacentral:rRNA from 1 species